UAGGGUAUAGUGUAAUUGGAAACGCAUUUACUUUGGGUGUAAAAGAAUUAUAGGUUCAAAUCCUAUUACCCUAA
rnacentral:tRNA from 1 species